UACGUAGGGUGCGAGCGUUGUCCGGAAUUAUUGGGCGUAAAGAGCUCGUAGGCGGUCUGUCGCGUCGGUCGUGAAAACUUGGGGCUUAACCCUGAGCUUGCGGUCGAUACGGGCAUGACUGGAGUUCGGUAGGGGAGACUGGAAUUCCUGGUGUAGCGGUGAAAUGCGCAGAUAUCAGGAGGAACACCGGUGGCGAAGGCGGCAUCCUGGACCGGUAUUGACGCUGAGGCGCGAAAGCCAGGGGAGCAAACGGG
rnacentral:rRNA from 1 species